UGUAACCGGAACAGUACGGCAGAGGCUAAUCGAUUGACCGAAAACCAAUGCAAAUAAUCGUCAGUCAUACUGUAGCCUUAUACCUAGACGGACGUCUACUUUUGUAUCGUUGAUCAUCCUAUGUGUUUUGUGUGUCUACGUUCCUGGCCUGAGGGAUCCGGGAACAGAUACAGCUUUAUUUCAGCCAGUGCACGAGUUCUUGCACCCGGAGGUAUCUGGCCUUGAGGGUACAGAGGAGACGUGCAUUGCGGUCAAGCAGUCGCAGUGAGCAGAGGGACUAUCGGUUCUCCGGCAUCGCUGGGGAUCGCGAAGUCGCAGUGAGCAGAGAGACUAUCGGUUCUCCGGCAACGCUGGGGAUUGCGCAUAACCUGCAUCAUACUUUACCGGCAGUGUCUGGUUGAGUUGAGGUUAUAGGUGUUAGAAAUCAAGAUUCUUAAAACUACCCUGUGCGGCUGCUGAGAAUGUCAUCUUCCUCCAAGCUUGAGGUUUAAUGCAAGCUGAAAGUGACCGGAGACCGCUGGUUACGACAUGACUUUUCAACAGGGUUUAUCCGACAUAAUUGUGUUCAUGUUCUCCAGUUACAUCCGAAGCAAUUGGAGGACAAAAAUUCCUUCAUACGUUGUUAUCCCUAUUUGUACUCACAAUAUGGGUUCAAAACCAAAAAUGAAGGGAAGAGGAGGAGAAAUAGCAUGGGGUCAUUAGGAAGAAUGGCGUCCGGCGAAAGCUGGAAGUUGAGAAGCCUCCUAUAGGUAGUCAUGUACCAUGGCCAGCUGGACGACUGAGUACUUUCUCGGGUCUACUGUUUGGAUUUCUUGCCUUACCAGAAGCUAUGGCAUCUUGGGUCCCGCCAACUGUUUCGCUGGGAGAAGUAAGGGAGGAGAGCACUUCAGUGGAUGAAGUGGAGCAGUGUAAAGAUGUUCCGCCAAUUAAGGCUGAAGUCAUUCCUGUUUCCAGCGACUCGGAAACGGAGGAAAAGGCUCCGGGGAAGGGGGGCUUCGACUCCAAAUGGGAGAGAUCAAGAUAGAGAAGGCUUCUGGGGACGACGAAGUGCUGCCCAUGGAAACCGAAGUCCUUUCGGUUAUAGCGCAGGAAGAUGAUCUGUCAACUUCUUCUGUCUUCACUGCGUUGGACCAAGUGGGACUGUUCUCCGUCGUUGAUGAAUUGGGGCAGUGUGAAGAUACCCCGCUGAUCAAGACAGAAGUAAUUUCUGUUUCAAGCGACUCUGAUACAGAAGAACGUGCUCCGGUGCAAGGGGACCCCGACCUUGGUUGGAGUCUCUAAUACUGGGGUAACUAGGGUCCCGGUCGAGGCUGGGAACUUGGCACCAUUUGUAAUUCAAACACAGGUAUUUACCAAUAGUUCCUAUGUUGCGAGGGAGCCACGGAAAAGGAGUUAUCAGAUGAGGGAGGAACCAGCCGAAUCGACACCAGUUUUGCCAGAGUGUGUGCCGGUGAGGAAAGUCCUGAAACCCUCAGUUUGGACCAGACUGGGUAAUCGCAUGGAAGAGCCCAUGAAAAAGAAACGAUCAUCCCGUUGUCCGUUAAUGGGAUGUUCGUCAGAUUCUCGCCAUUUAAGCCGACAUGUCGACCAGAGGCAUC